rnacentral:tRNA from 1 species
UGAUAAAGAGGGGAGUCAAACCCCUGUUAAUAGGACUACAGCCU